rnacentral:rRNA from 1 species
UUAAGUGACUAAGCGUACACGGUGGAUGCCUGGGCAGUCAGAGGCGAUGAAGGACGUACUAACUUGCGAUAAGCGCAGAUAAGGCAGUAAGAGCCGUUUGAGUCUGCGAUUUCCGAAUGGGGAAACCCAACUGCAUAAGCAGUUACUGUUAACUGAAUACAUAGGUUAACAGAGCAAACCGGGGGAACUGAAACAUCUAAGUACCCCGAGGAGAAGAAAUCAACCGAGAUUCCGGUAGUAGCGGCGAGCGAACCUGGAUUAGCCCUUAAGCACUCGGUGAAGUAGGUGAACAAGCUGGAAAGCUUGGCGAUACAGGGUGAUAGCCCCGUAACCGACGCUUCAUCGAGCGUGAAAUCGAGUAGGGCGGGACACGUGAUAUCCUGUCUGAAUAUGGGGGGACCAUCCUCCAAGGCUAAAUACUCCUGACUGACCGAUAGUGAACCAGUACCGUGAGGGAAAGGCGAAAAGAACCCCUGUGAGGGGAGUGAAAUAGAACCUGAAACCGUGUACGUACAAGCAGUAGGAGCACCUUCGUGGUGUGACUGCGUACCUUUUGUAUAAUGGGUCAGCGACUUAUAUUCAGUGGCAAGGUUAACCGUAUAGGGGAGCCGUAGCGAAAGCGAGUCUUAACUGGGCGCUCAGUCUCUGGAUAUAGACCCGAAACCGGGUGAUCUAGCCAUGGGCAGGUUGAAGGUUGAGUAACAUCAACUGGAGGACCGAACCGACUAAUGUUGAAAAAUUAGCGGAUGACUUGUGGCUAGGGGUGAAAGGCCAAUCAAACUCGGAGGUAGCUGGUUCUCCCCGAAAGCUAUUUAGGUAGCGCCUCGGACGAAUACUACUGGGGGUAGAGCACUGUUAAGGCUAGGGGGUCAUCCCGACUUACCAACCCUUUGCAAACUCCGAAUACCAGUAAGUACUAUCCGGGAGACACACGGCGGGUGCUAACGUCCGUCGUGGAGAGGGAAACAACCCAGACCGCCAGCUAAGGUCCCAAAGUAUUGCUAAGUGGGAAACGAUGUGGGAAGGCUCAGACAGCUAGGAUGUUGGCUUAGAAGCAGCCAUCAUUUAAAGAAAGCGUAAUAGCUCACUAGUCGAGUCGGCCUGCGCGGAAGAUGUGACGGGGCUAAGCAAUACACCGAAGCUGCGGCAAUGUCUUUUAGACAUUGGGUAGGGGAGCGUUCUGUAAGCCGUUGAAGGUGAAUCGUAAGGUUUGCUGGAGGUAUCAGAAGUGCGAAUGCUGACAUGAGUAACGACAAAGGGGGUGAAAAACCUCCUCGCCGGAAGACCAAGGGUUCCUGUCCAACGUUAAUCGGGGCAGGGUGAGUCGACCCCUAAGGUGAGGCCGAAAGGCGUAAUCGAUGGGAAACGGGUUAAUAUUCCCGUACUUCUGACUAUUGCGAUGGGGGGACGGAGAAGGCUAGGUGGGCCAGGCGACGGUUGUCCUGGUUCAAGUGCGUAGGCUUGAGAGUUAGGUAAAUCCGGCUCUCUCUAAGGCUGAGACACGACGUCGAGCUACUACGGUAGUGAAGUCAUUGAUGCCAUGCUUCCAGGAAAAGCCUCUAAGCUUCAGAUAGUCAGGAAUCGUACCCCAAACCGACACAGGUGGUCGGGUAGAGAAUACCAAGGCGCUUGAGAGAACUCGGGUGAAGGAACUAGGCAAAAUGGUACCGUAACUUCGGGAGAAGGUACGCUCUUGAUGGUGAAGUCCCUCGCGGAUGGAGCUGACGAGAGUCGCAGAUACCAGGUGGCUGCAACUGUUUAUUAAAAACACAGCACUGUGCAAAAUCGCAAGAUGACGUAUACGGUGUGACGCCUGCCGGUGCCGGAAGGUUAAUUGAUGGGGUUAGCGCAAGCGAAGCUCUUGAUCGAAGCCCCGGUAAACGGCGGCCGUAACUAUAACGGUCCUAAGGUAGCGAAAUUCCUUGUCGGGUAAGUUCCGACCUGCACGAAUGGCGUAAUGAUGGCCACGCUGUCUCCACCCGAGACUCAGUGAAAUUGAAAUCGCUGUGAAGAUGCAGUGUACCCGCGGCUAGACGGAAAGACCCCGUGAACCUUUACUACAGCUUGGCACUGAACAUUGAACCUACAUGUGUAGGAUAGGUGGGAGGCUAUGAAGACGUGACGCCAGUUGCGUUGGAGCCGUCCUUGAAAUACCACCCUUGUAUGUUUGAUGUUCUAACUUAGACCCAUUAUCUGGGUUGAGGACAGUGCCUGGUGGGUAGUUUGACUGGGGCGGUCUCCUCCCAAAGAGUAACGGAGGAGCACGAAGGUGGGCUAAUCACGGUUGGACAUCGUGAGGUUAGUGCAAUGGCAUAAGCCCGCUUAACUGCGAGAAUGACGGUUCGAGCAGGUGCGAAAGCAGGUCAUAGUGAUCCGGUGGUUCUGUAUGGAAGGGCCAUCGCUCAACGGAUAAAAGGUACUCCGGGGAUAACAGGCUGAUACCGCCCAAGAGUUCAUAUCGACGGCGGUGUUUGGCACCUCGAUGUCGGCUCAUCACAUCCUGGGGCUGAAGUCGGUCCCAAGGGUAUGGCUGUUCGCCAUUUAAAGUGGUACGCGAGCUGGGUUUAGAACGUCGUGAGACAGUUCGGUCCCUAUCUGCCGUGGGCGUUGGAAGAUUGAAGGGGGCUGCUCCUAGUACGAGAGGACCGGAGUGGACGAACCUCUGGUGUUCGGGUUGUGUCGCCAGACGCAUUGCCCGGUAGCUAAGUUCGGAAUUGAUAAGCGCUGAAAGCAUCUAAGCGCGAAGCGAGCCCUGAGAUGAGUCUUCCCUGACAGUUUAACUGUCCUAAAGGGUUGUUCGAGACUAGAACGUUGAUAGGCAGGGUGUGUAAGCGUUGUGAGGCGUUGAGCUAACCUGUACUAAUUGCCCGUGAGGCUUAACCAU